GAUGAACGCUGGCGGCGUGCCUAAUACAUGCAAGUCGAGCGAACAGACCAGGAGCUUGCUCCUCUGACGGUAGCGGCGGAGGGGUGAGUAACACAUGGUGAACCUACCUAUAAGACUGGGAUAACUUCGGGAAACGGGCGCUAAUGCCGGAUAAUAUAUUGCACCGCAUGGUUCAAUAGUCAAAUACGGUUUUGCUGUCACUUAUAGAUGGAUCCGCGCCGCAUUAGCUAGUUGGUAAGGUAACGGCUUACCAAGGCGGCGAUGCGUAGCCGACCUGAAAGGGUGAUUGGACACACGGGACGAGAGACGCGGUCCACACCUAUGCGGACAGUCGCAGCCGAGACUCCUCCGGAAUGAGCGAGAGUCUGAUCGUGCAACACCGCGGAAGUACUGAAGGAGUGGAGGCCGGUAAAAGGUGAACCUAGGGACGCACCAAUAUGUAGUUAGCGGUGCUCAUAUUGACGGUACCUAGACAGCAAGCCACGGCUAACUUCGUG
rnacentral:rRNA from 1 species